UGGGGAAUUUUGGACAAUGGGCGAAAGCCUGAUCCAGCAAUGCCGCGUGUGUGAAGAAGGCCUUCGGGUUGUAAAGCACUUUUGUCCGGAAAGAAAUCCUCUGGGUUAAUACCUCGGGGGGAUGACGGUACCGGAAGAAUAAGCACCGGCUAACUACGUGCCAGCAGCCGCGGUAAUACGUAGGGUGCAAGCGUUAAUCGGAAUUACUGGGCGUAAAGCGUGCGCAGGCGGUUUUGUAAGACGGAUGUGAAAUCCCCGGGCUUAACCUGGGAACUGCAUUCGUGACUGCAAGGCUAGAGUAUGGCAGAGGGGGGUAGAAUUCCACGUGUAGCAGUGAAAUGCGUAGAGAUGUGAAGGAAUACCGAUGGCGAAGGCAGCCCCCUGGGCCAAUACUGACGCUCAUGCACGAAAGCGUGGGGAGCAAACAGGAUUAGAUACCCUGGUAGUCCACGCCCUAAACGAUGUCAACUAGUUGUUGGGGGAUUCAUUUCCUUAGUAACGUAGCUAACGCGUGAAGUUGACCGCCUGGGGAGUACGGUCGCAAGAUUAAAACUCAAAUGAAUUGACGGGGUCAUAGCUGUUU
rnacentral:rRNA from 1 species